ACAAAACAAGCACAUUAUCAUAAACACAAACAUAAACAUAAUUAUAAUUAUGAUGUGAUCAGAAUUAACAGCAGCUCCGGCAAGAGGUGCAAAGAUGUGAAAAGCUAACAACAAAAAUAAAAAAAGGGAAAAUCAAAAAAAAAAUGUAAUAAAAAGGAAAUCAAGCAACGAAUAGAAGUAAAUAUAAAAAAACAAAGGAAAAUGCUCAACAUUGCAAUAACAGAUAAGAAAGGGCAAUACAAAUACAACAACAACAACAACAACAACUACACACAGGCAUAUGCCCAUGUAUGUGCGUGUGCGUGCAUGUGUGUGUAUGUGUGAGCAUCUACGCGCAGUAACUAAUCGAGUUUAACACCGAAGCACAUCAGCAAAUUGAUGAAACAACGAAAACAACUCUAACAACAACUUUGCAAAAACAACAACAACAACAACAACGUCAAAUUCACCAACAACAAUACCAAUUACAAGCACCUAUUCUAAGCGUCCUACAAUAACUUCAAACAAAAGAAAACAAAGCAUAAAACAAAGAACUAAACACAAGCACAGGGAGUUUACAUGCAAAACAACCUCAAACUCAGAUGUUGAUUUCGAAGCCUAAUGCAGUUUACUCAAUAUCAUCAAAAAUUGCUGGAAUAUUUGAAUAACAGACAACGAAUCAAUUAGGAUCUGCAAGGGGAAUAUCUGUAUCUAGUCUACUGUAUUGUCACAACUAUAUAUAGAUUAACAGUAGUUUGUAAGGCAGCCGCUCUUGAUGAAUAUUGGGCAGGAA